rnacentral:rRNA from 1 species
CCUACGGGAGGCAGCAGUGAGGAAUAUUGGUCAAUGGACGAGAGUCUGAACCAGCCAAGUAGCGUGAAGGAUGACUGCCCUAUGGGUUGUAAACUUCUUUUAUAUGGGAAUAAAAUGUUCCACGUGUGGGAUUUUGUAUGUACCAUAUGAAUAAGGAUCGGCUAACUCCGUGCCAGCAGCCGCGGUAAUACGGAGGAUCCGAGCGUUAUCCGGAUUUAUUGGGUUUAAAGGGAGCGUAGGUGGAUUGUUAAGUCAGUUGUGAAAGUUUGCGGCUCAACCGUAAAAUUGCAGUUGAAACUGGCAGUCUUGAGUACAGGAGAGGUGGGCGGAAUUCGUGGUGUAGUGGUGAAAUGCUUAGAUAUCACGAAGAACUCCGAUUGCGAAGGCAGUUCACUGGACUGCAACUGACACUGAGGCUCGAAAGUGUGGGUAUCAAACAGGAUUAGAUACCCCUGUAGUC